UGGGGAAUAUUGGACAAUGGGCGAAAGCCUGAUCCAGCAACGCCGCGUGAGGGAUGACGGCCUUCGGGUUGUAAACCUCUUUCGGUAGGGACGAAGCGCAAGUGACGGUACCUACUAAAGAAGCACCGGCCAACUACGUGC
rnacentral:rRNA from 1 species